rnacentral:rRNA from 1 species
UGAGUGACCUGCCGAUUUGCGGGGGAUAGCCGGGCCAACGCCCGGGUAAUACCGCAUACGCUCUUCUUGGGGCAUCUCUAGAAGAGGAAACCUCCGGGGCAAAUCGAGGGACUCGCGGCCUAUCAGCUAGUUGGCGAGGUAACGGCUCACCAAGGCAACGACGGGUAGCUGGUCUGAGAGGAUGGCCAGCCACAUUGGGACUGAGAUACGGCCCAGACUCCUACGGGAGGCAGCAGG